UCAUGUGGAAUUUAACGCAAAAUCUAAUUUCUUAUUGCUGUGCUACAUCACAUUAUGAAAUAUUUCUGUACUUUUUAGCUAUUGUUUUAUCUUUUUUGAAUAAUUUUUCAUCAACUGCAGCCUUUGCUGCUUUGCCCUUCACUUUGUUCACUUAAAUCAUGUGGUAAAAGACUUGGCAUUAUUUUCUUUUAAGACAAGAUCUGGGGGAAACAUGCCUGUUACACAAGCUAGUGAAGUAUGUUCCAAUGAUGAUUAUGGUAAUGAUAAUUCUCAUAACCUUUUUUGUCAUUGCUCUGUCCUCUGAUUGUUAUCUUGUUGCUAACAAACAAUUCAGUAGCUAUUUGGACCAGUACUAUCUUCUUAGAAGCUAAAUGGGUCAAGGGGUUUCUGCCAGCAGGAGAGAUUUCUGUACUGAUAAGAUGAAGAGAACCAGGAGGAAGAAAUUUUUGACUAAUAUUAAAUUAAAAUUAGGAGCUGCGACGACUGGUCUGAGAGAGAUGAGGGACCCUCAGAAACUCUAGCAUGCCUCCCAGCAGCCACUCCUCAGUUUACUACGACGUGGUGCCUGAGCCCUGCAGAAGGAUGCAGUGUCCCCUCCAAGAGGCCGUCGCUGCUUGGCAGGAAUGGCUGGGUUCGGAGCCUGCCAAGCUCACCUUUCCAGGGGCACCCGAUCCAUGGAGACAGCGAUAUGUGUCCAGGCGAACAGCUCUGGCUUUACAGCAGAAACAGGAAAGCCGUGUAUCCUCCCUUAGGCUCCCAAGACAUGGCUUUACGAAGGAGCCUUCUUCUCUCCAACAAGAGUUCAGGGUUAUUGCACUGAGGACCUGGGCUGCAUCCUUCCCUCCCAAUGUGUCCUGGAAGCAUCUAGGCCAGUGAACUGCUCAUCACACACCUUUGACAAGGUGCUGCUUCACAUAGACUCUUCAGAAUUCCUUUCGUUGCAGAAAAAGGAGCAACUGGGGGAAGAUUUCUGCAGAAGAGGUGGUGUCAGCUCCAGUUCCUGGACACAGCUACUCAGUGGCUGUGUCAUGGGAAAGAUAAACUCUCAUUGGAGCAUGGCCUGAAGCCCUGGAUGUCCUGCUCCCCAGGUGAGCACUCCCAUUCGUUCACCAUCUUUCACAAUCUCCUGAAGAACCUGAUUGUCUACAAGAGUUCGAAAGUGAGUGAAUGGAAGGGCCAGUCUAUUAAAUCUAUUAAAUAAAAUGACACCACUCAGAAUCUGUCUGAACCAAAGAGGACUGUUGAGAGAAUAUUUAGAGACAGUACCACUGUAUGCUUUCCUGUUCCUACAUUUUUCUCCAAGCACUUGCUUCUGGCCAUUGUAGGAGACAAAAUGCAAAAUUAGAUUGACUUCCAGCAAGUAAGUAGGAUAUUUUUAUUAUAUAUAUAUAAAA